rnacentral:sRNA from 1 species
UCCUCGAUGAUCUGUGGGCAGAUGAAAUGGACAUGCGUGUCGAUGGCGCCCGCCGUCAGGAUCUUGCCCUCGCCGCCGAUCACCUCCGUACCGGGACCAACGAUGAUGUCGACCCCGGGCUGGACGUCGGGAUUGCCUGCCUUGCCGAUCCCGGCAAUGCGGCCAUCCUUGAUCGCCACGUCAGCCUUGAUGAUCCCCCAGUGGUCGAUGAUGAUGACGUUGGUGAUGACCGUGUCGACCGCACCGUCCUGGCGGGUCACCUGGCUUUGGCCCAUGCCGUCGCGGA